UACGGGGGGGGCAAGCGUUGUUCGGAAUUACUGGGCAUAAAGCGCGCGUAGGCGGCUUGGCAAGUCGGGGGUGAAAGCCCGCAGCUCAACUGCGGAACUGCCUUCGAUACUGCCGGGCUUGAGGGCGGGAGGGGUGAUUGGAACUCCAGGUGUAGCGGUGAAAUGCGUAGAUAUCUGGAGGAACACCGGAGGCGAAGGCGAAUCACUGGACCGCUUCUGACGCUGAGGCGCGAAAGCUAGGGGAGCAAACAGG
rnacentral:rRNA from 1 species